AUUGAACGCUGGCGGCAUGCCUUACACAUGCAAGUCGAACGGCAGCGGACCUUCGGGUGCCGGCGAGUGGCGAACGGGUGAGUAAUAUAUCGGAACGUACCUUUCAGUGGGGGAUAACGUAGCGAAAGUUACGCUAAUACCGCAUAUUCUGUGAGCAGGAAAGCAGGGGAUCGCAAGACCUUGCGCUGAUUGAGCGGCCGAUAUCAGAUUAGCUAGUUGGUGAGGUAAAGGCUCACCAAGGCGACGAUCUGUAGCGGGUCUGAGAGGAUGAUCCGCCACACUGGAACUGAGACACGGUCCAGACUCCUACGGGAGGCAGCAGUGGGGAAUUUUGGACAAUGGGCGUAAGCCUGAUCCAGCUAUGCCGCGUGAGUGAAGAAGGCCUCGG
rnacentral:rRNA from 1 species